UACAGAGGGUGCAAGCGUUGUUCGGAAUUAUUGGGCGUAAAGGGCGCGUAGGCGGUGCGGUAAGUCUGCGGUGAAAUCUCCCGGCUCAACUGGGAGGCUGCCGUGGAAACUGCCGUGCUUGAGUUCGGGAGAGGUGAGUGGAAUUCCCAGUGUAGAGGUGAAAUUCGUAGAUAUUGGGAAGAACACCAGUGGCGAAGGCGGCUCACUGGACCGACACUGACGCUGAGGCGCGAAAGCGUGGGGAGCAAACAGG
rnacentral:rRNA from 1 species